GACGAACGCUGGCGGCGUGCCUAAUACAUGCAAGUAGAACGCUGAAGGAGGAGCUUGCUUCUCUGGAUGAGUUGCGAACGGGUGAGUAACGCGUAGGUAACCUGCCUGGUAGCGGGGGAUAACUAUUGGAAACGAUAGCUAAUACCGCAUAAGAGUAGAUGUUGCAUGACAUUUGCUUAAAAGGUGCAAUUGCAUCACUACCAGAUGGACCUGCGUUGUAUUAGCUAGUUGGUGGGGUAACGGCUCACCAAGGCGACGAUACAUAGCCGACCUGAGAGGGUGAUCGGCCACACUGGGACUGAGACACGGCCCAGACUCCUACGGGAGGCAGAAGAAGGGAAUCUUCGGAAAUGGACGGAAGUCUGACCGAGCAACGCCGCGUGAGUGAAGAAGGGUGUCGGAUCGAAAAGCUCUGUUGUAAGAGAAGAACGAGUGGGAGAGUGGAAAGUUCACACUGUGACGGUAUCUAACCAGAAAGGGACGGCUAACUACAUG
rnacentral:rRNA from 1 species